rnacentral:rRNA from 1 species
UUAAGUGACUAAGCGUACACGGUGGAUGCCUGGGCAGUCAGAGGCGAUGAAGGACGUACUAACUUGCGAUAAGCGCAGAUAUGGCAGUAAGAGCCGUUUGAGUCUGCGAUUUCCGAAUGGGGAAACCCAACUGCAUAAGCAGUUACUGUUAACUGAAUACAUAGGUUAACAGAGCAAACCGGGGGAACUGAAACAUCUAAGUACCCCGAGGAGAAGAAAUCAACCGAGAUUCCGGUAGUAGCGGCGAGCGAACCUGGAUUAGCCCUUAAGCACUCGGUGAAGUAGGUGAACAAGCUGGAAAGCUUGGCGAUACAGGGUGAUAGCCCCGUAACCGACGCUUCAUCGAGCGUGAAAUCGAGUAGGGCGGGACACGUGAUAUCCUGUCUGAAUAUGGGGGGACCAUCCUCCAAGGCUAAAUACUCCUGACUGACCGAUAGUGAACCAGUACCGUGUGGGAAAGGCGAAAAGAACCCCUGUGAGGGGAGUGAAAUAGAACCUGAAACCGUGUACGUACAAGCAGUAGGAGCACCUUCGUGGUGUGACUGCGUACCUUUUGUAUAAUGGGUCAGCGACUUAUAUUCAGUGGCAAGGUUAACCGUAUAGGGGAGCCGUAGCGAAAGCGAGUCUUAACUGGGCGCUCAGUCUCUGGAUAUAGACCCGAAACCGGGUGAUCUAGCCAUGGGCAGGUUGAAGGUUGAGUAACAUCAACUGGAGGACCGAACCGACUAAUGUUGAAAAAUUAGCGGAUGACUUGUGGCUAGGGGUGAAAGGCCAAUCAAACUCGGAGAUAGCUGGUUCUCCCCGAAAGCUAUUUAGGUAGCGCCUCGGACGAAUACUACUGGGGGUAGAGCACUGUUAAGGCUAGGGGGUCAUCCCGACUUACCAACCCUUUGCAAACUCCGAAUACCAGUAAGUACUAUCCGGGAGAUACACGGCGGGUGCUAACGUCCGUCGUGGAGAGGGAAACAACCCAGACCGCCAGCUAAGGUCCCAAAGUAUUGCUAAGUGGGAAACGAUGUGGGAAGGCUCAGACAGCUAGGAUGUUGGCUUAGAAGCAGCCAUCAUUUAAAGAAAGCGUAAUAGCUCACUAGUCGAGUCGGCCUGCGCGGAAGAUGUAACGGGGCUAAGCAAUACACCGAAGCUGCGGCAAUGUCUUUUAGACAUUGGGUAGGGGAGCGUUCUGUAAGCCGUUGAAGGUGAAUCGUAAGGUUUGCUGGAGGUAUCAGAAGUGCGAAUGCUGACAUGAGUAACGACAAAGGGGGUGAAAAACCUCCUCGCCGGAAGACCAAGGGUUCCUGUCCAACGUUAAUCGGGGCAGGGUGAGUCGACCCCUAAGGUGAGGCCGAAAGGCGUAAUCGAUGGGAAACGGGUUAAUAUUCCCGUACUUCUGACUAUUGCGAUGGGGGGACGGAGAAGGCUAGGUGGGCCAGGCGACGGUUGUCCUGGUUCAAGUGCGUAGGCUUGAGAGUUAGGUAAAUCCGGCUCUCUCUAAGGCUGAGACACGACGUCGAGCUACUACGGUAGUGAAGUCAUUGAUGCCAUGCUUCCAGGAAAAGCCUCUAAGCUUCAGAUAGUCAGGAAUCGUACCCCAAACCGACACAGGUGGUCGGGUAGAGAAUACCAAGGCGCUUGAGAGAACUCGGGUGAAGGAACUAGGCAAAAUGGUACCGUAACUUCGGGAGAAGGUACGCUCUUGAUGGUGAAGUCCCUCGCGGAUGGAGCUGACGAGAGUCGCAGAUACCAGGUGGCUGCAACUGUUUAUUAAAAACACAGCACUGUGCAAAAUCGCAAGAUGACGUAUACGGUGUGACGCCUGCCCGGUGCCGGAAGGUUAAUUGAUGGGGUUAGCGCAAGCGAAGCUCUUGAUCGAAGCCCCGGUAAACGGCGGCCGUAACUAUAACGGUCCUAAGGUAGCGAAAUUCCUUGUCGGGUAAGUUCCGACCUGCACGAAUGGCGUAAUGAUGGCCACGCUGUCUCCACCCGAGACUCAGUGAAAUUGAAAUCGCUGUGAAGAUGCAGUGUACCCGCGGCUAGACGGAAAGACCCCGUGAACCUUUACUACAGCUUGGCACUGAACAUUGAACCUACAUGUGUAGGAUAGGUGGGAGGCUAUGAAGACGUGACGCCAGUUGCGUUGGAGCCGUCCUUGAAAUACCACCCUUGUAUGUUUGAUGUUCUAACUUAGACCCAUUAUCUGGGUUGAGGACAGUGCCUGG